CUACACUGUCAUAUAUGCUGUAUGGGGCUUUUUGCUUGGAGCCAGAGGUCGUCCAGGAGAAAUUAGAUCCUUGGAAGCAGUUCACAAACUUUUUGAAGAGUUUCCAGAAGCUUUUAUGAGCACCCUUCAUGUACCUCUUUCCAAUAGAACUUCUCAGCACGGACAGGUUUUUGAGAAGAAGGUUAAUGCUGCAUGGUUCUCUCUGUUUUGGAAUGAAAUCAUAGCAAAUCUUAGGGAAGAAGAUUAUAUAACAAACCAAGAAAUGGAAUUGCUUUCAAUGCCUAAUAAUUCAGGAACUCUCGCUUUGGUUCAGUGGUCCCUCUUCCUUCUUGCUAGCAAG